GCAAGGGAGGAGGUGAAGGAGAGAGGAAUAAAGAAAGGGGUUGAGGGUCUUGCAGGAGGGAAGAAGGCAGCACACCUCUAGAAGAUCGGGAGCUAAAACAAAUGCCUAAUCAGUCAGCAGACAUGGAUAACUUGUAGUGAAACAACCGAGGGUGAGGAAAAUAGGCCAGCCAAGAAAUGAAAAUACCCUUCAAAGUGGAAAGGAGAGGUUCGCAAGAGAAGGAGGAUGGAGGGUAAAUCCUACCUUGGCAGGAAAAAGAUGAUUGAGUCGACUAUGGCAAUUGAUAUCUGCACUGUUUGAUUAUUUAUUACCAACACGAUUCUUACUUAAAUACCUACGUUGAUGUUUAAUUCCAUGCUAAAAUGUGUCCGAUUUUCAUACUAGUAAUAUGAUUGAUAGUGAAAUUUCGAUAUUGAUUGUUGUUUGACUGUUGUAAUACUUACCUGUCCCUUGAUAUUUCAUUCUGAGUGAAAAAUUAAACAUUCACCAUCACAUGUA